UUUCGGUGUCUUUGGACGACUAGGGUAAUGGAGCUUGGCUGGAACAAGGAUCUCAAUGUUGCAAAUUGUUGCUAUAUCCAAUUCGCUAUAGUUUAUUUGGAAGAACAGGGGCAAGAACCUUCCUCGCAAUCGCUUCCUCCCCACAACAUCCAGAUUUAAAGCCUUAAUUAAUGUUUUCUUUUAUCAUUAACAACGAUGAACCUUUUUCUUUAUUAUUUACUCCCGAAGCAGACAAGGGGAGAGUUACUCCAAAGACUCGACACGAGUAAGAGUGAUGUGCGAUGCGUCGGAGAGAGCCAAACCAGAAGUUUCUGUUACAUAUGGGUGUGUUGUGUUGGCCAAUGCAUUAUCCAGAUUUUGACGGAAAUUUAUUUAUAUAGCUCUUUGGAAGGAGACCAAGAAGACCAAAAAAAAAAGGUCUUGGCACGUCGACUUCCGGCCGCGGUAUGGCCGGCGACGAGGAAGCGAAGCCAGAGACGCGUUGGUUUCGACGGUGCUCUCCCCAAGUGCAGCUCGACAAGCUCAGGGUAUUCCCUAACUCUGUUGCUCCUUGCGUCGUGUUAAUUUCUCUAAUUCGUGCCAAGAAUCAUCCCAUGACAUCUCCUCGUGAAGACUUCUGUGAAAUUGGAAGGAUCUACUUGCUAGGCGGAUCUCAAGAUAGCCCCAUGUUUUUAGUUCCGUCAAGACUUCAAUUUUGUUCUCUGAUUAGCACAUGUAGUAGGAAUUGCACAAGUAGCGUUUGCAACUCAAAGCACAGGCGAAGGAGAGAACAAAAUUGAAAGGGAGCACACAGAUGAGUGUAAAGACAUGUGAGGAGACACCUGAUGUGGAGAAUACAGAUACUUCGGUCACUACUGUUGGAGGCAGUUCAAGUUCUCCGACAUCAAAAGAAAAAAAGAAAAAGGCUUGCUUGGUUCAUCAAAUGCUUUCACGUCAGGUUGACAAUCAGCAAGGAGACGUUUUCAUCUGCGUCGAAGAUAUAUUCAGCUUUGGAUGUUCAAGGAAUAUGGAACCUGCUGGUCUCCCAUAAAGGUGUUUGAUUGCAACAAAAUAUAGAUAAUGGAUGAACCAUGACAUGGGUUCGUUUGUUUCCUCAUUCUUUGUUUUUAUAUGUUGCCAGUAGUCUCAGAAGGAUGCAAUGGUAUUUUCUUUAAUCAUCAACGCAGAGAGAACCAUGUCAAUCAUGAUACGUUGUCAUAUGAUGCUUAAUUUUUGCUUAAACAACCUGGCUCUUCUAUCUGCUUCACACACAUUAAAUAUGUUGUUGCAGUUCAGAUUCAUGGGUCAGAUAUUAUCUAAAAGAUGACACUUGUGGGGUUCAAUAUCUGUCUCUACUUUAUCCGAAAGAUGCCUACUUUGUGAAUUUGGGAUAUGCUAAUCAAAGGAAGCACGAAACAACAAAAUCAAAAGCAGGCACUAUGCCCACUAUUAUGAAGUUUCUGAAGCUCUCUGGUGCCGUUUAACUGUUUUUGUGUUCAAGUAAACUUGUUGAUGUCUGAGAAGAUGUGUGUGUGUGUAUGUAAUUGUAUAGUCAUUCAUAGUGGGGUGCAGCUGAAUUCUUGUUAGGUAACGCUAAACUCAUUGUUCAUCUCUGAUAACCUAAAUGAAAAGCUUCAUGAGUUGAAUUA